GGAAAGUUGAAAGGGAGAGGAAAGGGAGAGAAAACCUUCAGACCAUAAUGUAGAUCUAACUCUCUUUCAAACUAUUAUGACUGCAGUCUGCUGACUGCUUUGAGGUCUCUUCAAACAUCAAUAUAAAUGUCCAAAUGUGGAGGGGGAGGCCGUGGGGGAGGUCCAAGAGGCCCCCAGGGCAAAGGAGGUGGAUCCUGUCUCAGCAUUGGCAGUGGAGGGCCUCCCAUGGAGUGGGGCAUGAAGGGAGGUCCUGGAAAAGGAGGGGGACCCCUUGCAGCCAUAUUAACCUUGCCCUCCUCUGUCCACCCAGCAGGGAAUGAGCUUCCAGAGCUGCUGUUCCUCAGGGGAGCUGCACCAGGUCCUGGAUCUCUCUGUGGAGGGGCGUCCACAUCAGGCCUUCCCGGCACCAGUUUCUUAUGUUUCUGGGAUAUUUCCAGUCUAUGUUUCAAGCAAGGAAGCUGGGGCCUGCAGCCGCUGGGAGCCUGAGCGGGGCAUAUAGCUUGACCUGAGCAGCAGGGGCAGGGAGACCGCACCUGGAAUCCCACUCACUUGUUCUGAGGUCCUCGUCUCUAAAGAGCCAUCUGCUUAGACUGCCUUGUUUUGUGCUUUCCCAGCCUUUGGUUAGCUCAUAGGUUUUCACAGUUUCAGGGAUCUCAUUGAAGGGGAUCUGCAGUUGGCACUUGUGGUGGUUGCAGAGGGGAUGCCCUUAAAAAUGACAAUUCUAAUUAAUGUUUGGGCUAUGGCCAGGCCCUGUGUUAAGUGCGUCUACACACAUCUAAUUUAACUCUCAUAACCACUUUAUCAGGUAGAUAAUAUUCUCUCCGACCCGCACCCCCCCCUUUUACAGAUAAGGAAACCUGAUGUACAGAAGGGUUAAGAAACAUGUCCAAUAACUGCUCGUAAGUAGCAGAGCUGGGUUUUGAAUCCCUGCCUGUGUCUUUCCAGAAAUGCAGCUCAACCUCCACGCCUCACAAUUUCCAAGCAAUUUAAUCGCCUUUAAUUCCAUUUCAUUGC
rnacentral:lncRNA from 1 species